GACGAACCGUGCGAACGUUGUUCGGAAUCACUGGGCUUAAAGGGCGCGUAGGCGGGCUGGUAAGUCAGGGGUGAAAGCCCACGGCCCAACCGUGGAAGUGCCUUUGAUACUGCCAGUCUCGAGGGAGGUAGGGGCGUGCGGAACUUCCGGUGGAGCGGUGAAAUGCGUAGAUAUCGGAAGGAACACCGGUGGCGAAAGCGGCGCGCUGGACCUCUUCUGACGCUGAGGCGCGAAAGCCAGGGGAGCAAACAGG
rnacentral:rRNA from 1 species